rnacentral:rRNA from 1 species
CGGCCGUUGGCCCUUUACACUCUUGUCUCCAUCUGGAAUUUCUUCUGAGUAUAAACAAACAAAUGAAUCAAAACUUUCAACAACGGAUCUCUUGGUUCUGGCAUCGAUGAAGAACGCAGCGAAAUGCGAUAAGUAAUGUGAAUUGCAGAAUUCAGUGAAUCAUCGAAUCUUUGAACGCACAUUGCGCCCGCUGGUAUUCCAGCGGGCAUGCCUGUUCGAGCGUCAUUUCAACCCUCAAGCCCAGCUUGGUGUUGGGACAUUGCCUUUCUUUCUUGUGUUUCUUCGGGAGCGCAUGAGGGCAAGUCCUUAAAUUGAGUGGCGAGCUCGCCAGGACUCCGAGCGUAGUAGUUUUACCACCUCGCUUUGGACGGACUGGCGGUGCCUUGGCCGU